AUUAUGGAGCAUGUUGUUUCUCUGUUGCCAAACAGAGUAAACCAGCGAUUGAGUCACCAGCAUUUUAAGCACGGGAGGAACUGAAGAAGCCGGUGCACGAGCCCAUUGCAUAAGGUCCGACCAAGAAGUAAACCGUGGAACUCGACAGCGAAUCCUUAGUUGGAUCUCAGACCAAACAGUCAUCGCAUAGGAGCAAGUUAACAUAAGAUGGUCUCUUGAUUCAGGGGCAUUAGAGCAGAUACAACAGCUCAAGGGCACCUGCAUACCCCAGGUGGAGAACCUGUCACGUGUUGGUAGC
rnacentral:lncRNA from 1 species